rnacentral:tRNA from 2 species
AGGAUUAUAGUUUAUAAAUUAAAACAUUUGAUUUGCAAUCAAAAAAUAUUGAAAAUCAAUUUAUCUUA